rnacentral:rRNA from 1 species
AUUGAACGCUGGCGGCAGGCCUAACACAUGCAAGUCGAACGAGUGGCGGACGGGUGAGUAAUGUCUGGGAAACUGCCUGAUGGCGGGGGAUAACUACUGGAAACGGUAGCUAAUACCGCAUACCAUCAGAUGUGCCCAGAUGGGAUUAGCUUGUUGGUGGGGUAACGGCUCACCAAGGCGACGAUCCCUAGCUGGUCGGAGAGGAUGACCAGCCACACUGUGACGGAGACGCAGUCCAGACUCCAACGGGAGGCAGCAGUGGGGAAUAUUGCACAAUGGACGAAAACCUGAUGCAGCCAUUCCGCGUGUGUGAAGGAGGCCUUCGGGUUGUAAAGUACUUUCAGCGGAAAGGCUUUACCCGCAGAAGAAGCACCGGCUAACUCCGUUCCAGCAGCCGCAAUAAUAC